UGGCGGCGUGCCUAACACAUGCAAGUCGAGCGGGACAUAUAACGGAUAGGAAGUUUCGGAUGGAAUUGAAGAUAUAUGUUCUAGCGGCGGACGGGUGAGUAACGCGUGAGCAACCUGUCCUCACAGGGGAUAACACAGCGAAAGUUGUACUAAUACCGCAUAAGACCACGCCGGGGCAUCCCGGAGGGGUCAAAGGAGGAAUCCGGUGAAGGGUGGGCUCGCGUCCGAUUAGAUAGUUGGUGAGGUAACGGCCCACCAAGUCAACGAUCGGUAGCCGACCUGAGAGGGUGAUCGGCCACAUUGGGACUGAGACACGGCCCAAACUCCUACGGGAGGCAGCAGUGGGGAAUAUUGGGCAAUGGGGGGAACCCUGACCCAGCAACGCCGCGUGAGGGAAGAAGGUUUUCGGAUCGUAAACCUCUGUCCUUGGUGAAGAGGAAGAGACGGUAGCCAAGGAGGAAGCCCCGGCUAACUACGUGCCAGCAGCCGC
rnacentral:rRNA from 1 species